rnacentral:lncRNA from 1 species
AGUUGCCAUGACUAUGGCUGCCAGGUACAAGAGACAAGUGAUUGGCUAUCAGUUCCACCUUGAGGCAGAUUCUUCCUCCCCUCCUCUUCCUUUUGCCACCAACUGCUAACGUUCAGUGUGUGUGUGUGUGUGUGUGUGUGUGUGUGUGUGUGUGUGGCCAGAUGCAGUGAUGCUCAACUGAGAUGUCAGGCAGCAGGGACCUAGUGUAUCAAGACCUGGGCCUAGGCUGACAUUCGGUAUAACGCCUUGGCUUUCUGGGUUUCAGGGACAGCUGAUGGUUGGAGAAACAGGCAGGGCACCGUAUGAAAUGACAGUGCCCAGGAACCCAAAGAGGAAGCAAGGAACUUGGACGCUUCUCCCUGGGCAGAUGCCAGAUCUGUUGCCUCCAGGAUCUGCCCUUCCCCCUGCAAGCCUGACAGUCCCCGCCCCUUGCCUCUUAUAGCAGGACUUUGCAAACAGUUUCUCCGGAUGGACACUGAACACGGCUGUGCCUCCUCCCUGAACACUUUCCAUUCCCAGACUGAGCCUCAGCCACGGCUCCUCAGGAAAAUUGGCCGAAAGAGACAUUUUCCAUGCUCUUGACUCCUCUGGCCGUGCUGGCACGCUCCAGCAUCUUCUCCCCCUAGUAAGCCACGCCCAGAAAGAGGAUGCUGUCCGUCAACCCGCUGUUACUCAUCCGCCACUUAGUCUGAAGUCCUUUCAUCUCUCCGGGCCUCAGUGAUCUAAUCUAUGAAUAAACUAUUCAGGCUGC